GGACCUGUAGCAUAAUUGGAUAGUGCACCUGACUACGGAUCAGGAGGUUAGGGGUUCGACUCCCUUCAGGUUCACAA
rnacentral:tRNA from 3 species